rnacentral:rRNA from 1 species
GAACUCAACCACAAUCACAAGAUGCUGGAAAGCCUCGGGAUGCUUUUGCACAUGCGAUCGCACAAAAGAGAUGAUCCUUUGAUUGACCAGUCGGUGAAAGACAUGCAGCUGGACAACCACACACAUGUUCAGAUGAUGUCAAUGCUGUCGCGUAUGUCCGGUGGUCUGCAAUACAUGGGACAUACUAGCCACGACUGGGUAAACAAGAAACAGAAGUUUGCCAGAGAAGAGUCCCAAUAUGACGUCAAGAAACUUCUGGAUUUCUUCGAGAAGAUGUAGAAGAUAAACCCAGAGUUCUUCUUUGAUUAUGACGUUGAUGUAGAUAACCGUGUAAGAAACGUCUUUUGGGCCAACGCAAGCUGCAAAGGAUCCUAUGAAGAUUUAGGAGACUGCGUUACAUUUGACACGACAUAUAAAACUAACAAAUUCCACAUGCCGCUGGGAGUCUUCGUGGGAGUGCACCAUCAUCUACAGAGCACCAUAUUUGUCGUUGCCCUCGUGCAAGAUGAAACAAUACCAUCGUUCGAGUGGGACCAGUGUUCUUUGAUGAAGGCAGCAUCAAAAAUUAUCCUCCCAGAUACACUACAUAAGUUGUGUCAGUGGCAUAUCAUGAAGAAGUACAAAGACCACCUCGCCUUGCUGUAUAAGGCGCACGAGAAACUCAAGGAUGACCUCAAUGCGGUGCUGAACAACCCACUAAUGCCGUCAGACUUUGAACGGGCAUGGAAGGACCUCAUCCAGAAAUACAACUUGCAAAACAACGAAGUGAUGAAUUCAUUGUGGGAUGACAGGCACGAGUGGAUCUCGGCUUACUACAAGGAAAUUUUCUAUGCUCGGAUGACUUCCACGCAGAGAAGCAAGACAUUGAACCGCAUAUUGAAGAAAAACUUUGUCAAAGAGAAGGAUGAUCUCCAUCUAUUUGCUCAGCAGGUGGACAAGUGCAUUUAUCCCAGGAAGGCCGUCGAGCACGCAGAGAUAGUAGCAAAUGAGUCAGAGGUAAAGACAACAACCCAGUUUGGGUUCGAAGUUCAGCUAUCAAAAGUGUAUACAAGGGCAGUUUUUGCAUAUUUCAAAGAAACACUCUACCGCAGCACUGCAUUCAGAGCAGAACGGUGCCCUGAGAACCUGACAAAGUACCUCGUACACCACUACAACAAAUUGGAUGCAUUUGACUAGGCAAGGCAUAAUUUCCAAGUGGUCGCCAAUGAAGAGAAAGGUGUCUACGAAUGUGAGUGCAAACUCUGGACACACACAGAUGCGACUCGCUAG